rnacentral:rRNA from 1 species
UACGUAGGGUGCGAGCGUUAAUCGGAAUUACUGGGCGUAAAGCGUGCGCAGGCGGUUCGUUGUGUCGGUGGUGAAAGCCCCGGGCUUAACCUGGGAAUGGCCAUGGAAACUGGCGAACUGGAGUGUGGCAGAGGGGGGUGGAAUUCCGCGUGUAGCAGCGAAAUGCGUAGAGAUUCGGAGGAACACCGAUGGCGAAGGCAGCCCCCUGGGCUAGCACUGACGCUCAGGCACGAAAGCGUGGGGAGCAAACAGG